rnacentral:rRNA from 1 species
GUAGAUAGGGCAGAGGUGGAAGUGUGGCAACACAUGGAGCUGACUGUUACUAAUAGGUCGAGGGCUUGAUUAA